UCCCGAAAUCCUGGAUCCGAGGUCCCGGCAUCCCCCCGGCUCGCUGGAGCUCUGUGGGUGGGCGGCUCUGCGAGGAGCGAGGAUGAAGCGAGGAGGCGGCAGCGGCGUCAUGCCUCAACAAGUGGAUCUCACUGAACAGGCUGGCCUAGCUCGCGGCCGGGAGCUUGGCAACACAGCGACGCGAUCAUCUCUCAAGGAGGCACUGACUCAGAAACAGAAUUCAUGAAAGCGUCAGAAUUCGCUGUGACAUUCGAAUGUCACCAGGAGAUUCGAGUUCAUCCAUUCGAGUCCUCCAGUAUGGAUUCUGUAUAUUAUCCCAGAGAUUUGCCAUCAGGUUGAAACAGAGACAGAAGUUGAUGAUCAACGGCACUGUCAUCAGACUGCAAUGCCCAUCCAGAUAACGGGAAUGAGAAUUUGGUAAUGAACCUUUCCAAACCACUGGACGGGUCAGAGAAGCGAAGAGUAUCAUAUGCUAAUUCCCCUCCUCCCUUCCUCCUUCCCAUAGAGUUUUGGCGGUUGGCUGAAAAAAUGAUAGAAGAAAAGCUUUAGUCUCCAUCCCUGUCCUUUUUACCCUUCAAAGAUUAUCAGUCAAUCGAUC